ACUCCCAAACCCCCUGCGAACCUUACCACACGCGUUGCCUCGGCGGGACCGCCCCGGCGCCCCAGCGGCCCGGACCAAGGCGCCCGCCGGAGGACCACCCAGACUCUCCUGUCGCAGUGGCAUUUCUCUCCGAGUCAAAAAACAAGCAAAUGAAUCAAAACUUUCAACAACGGAUCUCUUGGUUCUGGCAUCGAUGAAGAACGCAGCGAAAUGCGAUAAGUAAUGUGAAUUGCAGAAUUCAGUGAAUCAUCGAAUCUUUGAACGCACAUUGCGCCCGCCAGUACUCUGGCGGGCAUGCCUGUCCGAGCGUCAUUUCAACCCUCGAGCCCCCCUCCGCCCCCGGGCGGCGGCGGGGCCCGGCGUUGGGGGUCCACGGCCGCGAGCCGCCCCCGAAAUGCAGUGGCGACCCCGCCGCGGCCUCCCCUGCGCAGUAGCUCCCAGAGAACCUCGCACCGGAAGCGCGGAGGCGGUCACGCCGUAAAACGACCUCCUCCUGGAAGUUGACCUCGGAUCAGGUAGGGAUACCCGCUGAACUUAAGCAUAUCAA
rnacentral:rRNA from 1 species